rnacentral:rRNA from 1 species
AAAACAUWUAWCGGYCNCGGUWCCCWACCSGKGCGAAGGURGCAUAWUCACUUGUCCUUUAAAUAGGGACUUGUAUCAACGGCAUCACGAGGGUUAUACUGUCUCCUUUCUCCAAUCAGUGAAACUGAUCUCCCCGUGAAGAAGCGGGGAUAAAAAUAUAAGACGAGAAGACCCCAUGGAGCUUUAAGCCCAACAACACCUCUAUUAGACAUUUCUUCUUAAGCCUUGAGACCUGAUUGUUAGCUUUAGGUUGGGGUGACCGCGGAGCACAAUUAAACCUCCACGACUAACAGGACUAACCCUUUAUCUAAGAGCCACUGCUCUAAGAAUCAUUAAAUUGAUGUAAAAUGAUCCGAUCUUCGAUCAACGAACCAAGUUACCCUGGGGAUAACAGCGCAAUCCACUUCAAGAGCCCCUAUCGACAAGUGGGUUUACGACCUCGAUGUUGGAUCAGGGUAUCCUAGUGGUGCAGCCGCUACUAAAGGUUCGUUUGUUCAACGAUUAAAACCCUACGUGAUCUGAGUUCAGACCGG